GGGAUCCCGGUUCUGGCAGAGCGGCACCUUCGAGGUGUCCAAAAGCAGUGAACCCCGGGCUGGCAGCUCCCUGCAGGUGACGCUGCCUUCGGAGCUGGAGGGCAUCUCCUACAUCCAGGUCACCAUCCAGAAAGACAUGGCGACGA
rnacentral:lncRNA from 1 species